CUGGCGGCGUGCUUAACACAUGCAAGUCAAGGAGAAAGGGAAUCUUCGGAAUCCCAAGUAAACUGGCGAACGGGUGAGUAACACGUAGGUAACCUGCCUCUUGGACAGGGAUAACCCGACUAACGUCGGGCUAAUACCUGAUAAUAUCAAAAUGGCGCAUGUCAUUUUGAUCAAAGCUGCCUUCGGGUAGCACCAGGAGAUGGACCUGCGCCCCAUUAGCUUGUUGGUGAGGUAACGGCUCACCAAGGCGACGAUGGGUAGCCGGCCUGAGAGGGUGAACGGCCACACUGUGACUGAGAUACGGCCCAGACUCCUACGGGAGGCAGCAGUGAGGAAUAUUGCGCAAUGGGCGAAAGCCUGACGCAGCAACGCCGCGUGGAUGAUGAAGCUCUAAGGAGUGUAAAGUCCUGUUAGGAGGGAAGAACAACUUUGAUUCGAAUAGGUUCAAAGUUUGACGGUACCUCCAGAGAAAGCCCCGGCUAACUCCGUGCCAGCAGCCGCGGUAAUACGGGGGGGGCAAGCGUUGUCCGGAAUUAUUGGGCGUAAAGGGCGCGUAGGCGGAACAGUAAGUCAGAAGUGAAAACCAUGGGCUUAACUCAUGGCCUGCUUUUGAAACUGCUGUUCUUGAGUGCGGUAGAGGGAAGUGGAAUUCCCGGCGUAGCUGUGACACCAUCCCAAUCAGGAAGAACACCGGUACCGAAGGCGGCGUCCUGGCCCGAAAAAGACGUUCAGGCGAGAUAGCGUGGGGAGCAAACUGGUCAGGA
rnacentral:rRNA from 1 species